AGGACCUCAAGUCACAUUUCAUCCUCUGGUUUCCCUGAAAACAGCUAUUUACACGUCGAAGUUACUGGAUGUAUGUUCUGAUAAAGGUAAGCUUUACUUCUAAGCAAGUUCUACAGUGGCCAGCAUCUCAUGGUCACCAAUGGAUUGGCACCUACUCAAGCAUCACCUUGGGAGAAUUGUGAUGGAGCAACCUGGGCUCUUUGGUAAUACACGACAUUGGCAGCUAUAGCAGAAAACUUCAGGUUCUCUUAACAAAUUAUGAGAACAGGGGGAUAACGCCAGUAUAAAAUCAGUAACCACGUAUAAACUUCUCAUGGAGAUCAGCUGGGACCUCAUGGCAGAAACCUCAUUUAAAAAAACCGCUAAUGACUUCACCUUGGCCCAAGUCACAGCAUAGCAGCCACCUCCUCCUCCUCCAGCCCUGCUAUGACCGCUGGAUUUGUGAAGCGGGGAAGAAUCAGCCCACAGUGACUCAGAGCACAAACACGACAUGGUUGGAAAGGCCCA